CCAACCUCCACGCACUACGACUGCCUCCUGUCCUUUUUCACUGCCCUAUCCGCCGAGGGGCGUCUCUCGCUUCAUACUUGCUUUAAAAGGUAUCUCCAUUUCCAUUGGACUCCGACAUCGACUUUGGGGACGGGAACAGGGACGAAGAGGAUCGCGAUAUCAUCGGACUUCGACAUACACUCUGGGGAUGAGGACGAAGACGACGAAGAAGAAGGAUCCGUUGCGGAAGCCGGCGUGGCGAAAGAGGACCUGAAGCUCGAGAUCAAUGACCACAAGGCCUAGGUCGAUUUCUUAACCCUUUCCUUUCCAUUAACGGUUCUUUGUAAUGGGAAAAUUAUUGGUGAACCCAUUUUCCAGUGGCUGCUCCUCUCUAAAUGGGAAUUAUCGUUUCUUGGUUUCAGCAAAUGGGCGUAAGUGACCUUCUGGCUUUUGACCUCUGUCUUUACAGAAGGUGAGGCUCAGGGGCACCCCAUUAACAGUGGCAACAGCAAAGAAAGAGAGAGCAACCAUCGCUUUGUUCCUAAACCUGAUGAAGCCACCGGGCCAUUCCCAGAAGCUGUGCUUCUUAGAGAGGUAUUUUUCUUCUUCUAAUACCUUGACCACUACUUUGUUGGAGGUAUUUACCAUUUUAUCUUCAGAAGUACUUCAAUUACAGGUCUGACUGUGAAAUUUUGAGAGAGGGUGCAAUAUAUAUUUCAAAAUUAGUUCAAUUUCAAGCCACAAAGAUUUACUAUAGAAAUCAUUUUGCAUACUUUGGUGGCAAAAUCUUUUUGUUUUAGCUAUAGUAGUUUUAGUUCAUUGAGCCAAGACGCGGAUAAACAUCAUAAACUGUAAAGUAGAAGCAUGGAGGAGUACUUUGGAAUUUAUAGGUUUUUUGGUUAAGUAGAACUAAAUAGAUUAAUUGAAAUGUCCAUUUCGUUAAGAAGGAAUAAGGAUAAUAGCAACUUGAUUAAUUUACAUACCAACCUCACAUAAUGAAAUGGAGCAAUGCUACAAGAGUUCUAUAUUUUGUGAAAUAUGUACUCCUUUAAAAGGCAAUUGCCAACGCUUGUUAGAUCAACUAUACUUGUUCAUAAUAAAUUUUGUCCAUGAUAAGGGCAGUUGUUCUUAAGGCGAAUACAAAUUUUAAGAUGGAUGUAUGGCCAUAGAAGAAUGGAUAAAAUCAGAAAUGAAUACCCACGACAAGUCGAGGUGACUCCAUUGAAGAUAAAAAAGAAAAAAUGACGACUUGAAUUGUUAGAUAUGUAUCGUGUAAAUUCGGAGAAGUUCUUUUUCACAAGAAUCAAUGAGGUCCCAAAAGAAAACUUGUUAGAAGAGGGGGAUGUACAUCAAAAUUAAUAUUUUAUGAUAAUGUGAUUAAAAUAUAUAGUUUUAUUGGACCAUUCAAUAAUAAAGGAAGACUCGUGUGGUCAACCCCAAGUUACUAGGACUUUUUCAGAACUUAUCCAAAAAGAGGUGUUUCUGGUAUGCAUUUUACUGUUGAAUAUGAGAAUUAUAGGAACAGAAGAAGCUCUAACAUUUUGGAAUUAUUUCAGCCCCGAAUCUUUGACUCCAAUGUUCAAAAGAUUUUACGUGAAUGUAGAUUUGGGUUUUUAUUUCCGAGAAAAUACAGGUAUGUCGGAAACAUUCACACCUAGGUGACUAAACCGCUGCACGAAGUUUUUGCAACUACUGGUCUUGUUCAAAGCUUUCAGCUUGUUAGAAAGGAAAAGGUAUAGUCUCUGUAGUCCUUUUUUUUUGCCAUAGAGGCUAAUAUUAAUGGGAUGCGAUAAUUAUGUUAGUUUUGGGCUGUGAAAAUUUUGAUUGUCUCCUUAUAUACUAGCAAUUAUUGUUCUUGGAAAAUGGAAAACUUGGAAGUUAUUUUGCUGUACUUGAUUUGGUCAUUGAGGAUCUGAUUUUUAUACCUUAAAGGAGUGAUUCUUAUAUUUCAAGUGAUCCUAUUCUAUGGUUGAUUAAUUUCUCAUUCCUAUUGGAUUAAAAGAAUGAAGUUGUUAUAGUCUCUUAAUGUUUAAUGGAAUAUGUUGCAUUUUGUUCUAUAUAGAUAUAAAGUGUCUCUCUCUUUUUUUUUUUUUUUUUUUUUAAGUCAUAUGAAAGGUUCAUGUAGGAGAACAAAAUAUGGGCUCGUGGAAGGAUGAAUCAAGCAAGAUUUGCCAUAAUUGGUCAUGUUGUUUAAAUGGUCAGUCGAGACUGAAGUUAUGGCUCAUGAUUAUCAUGCUUUAGAUUGUUUGUACCCUGAUGUACAUGUAUCUCCUUUCUUACCAGCUCUGAGGAACUUCUAUCAUAAUGCACUAAAUUCAACGUGAGUGAACUCAACUUGUAAACCAUCGUAGAUGGUUUGGGUGUUGUUUUAUACCAAUAUUCAUUUAAUGGUGAACAACUUGUUUCCCUCUAUUCAUCAACACCAUCAAUAUUAUUGCCUAUGUUAUGCUGUAUUUUCUUUUAAAAGCUAUAGCAGUCUUAUUCCUUUUAUGAUCCUAUCGUUCAAUGUAAAUCAGCUGCUCUUUUGUUUAGAGCCUGUGUGACAACCAUUAUUGUAGAAAAAAGAUUUUUGAAUAGUGAUUUUUAGGAGAAUGUGUGGUCAAAAAGUAGGGAAAAAUUUUUAUCAUAAAAGGAAAAUAUUUUAUUGUGUGAAUGUGUAGUUGAAAAUGGUUAUGUAGCAAACCAUAAAAUAAAUUAAUGUGUGUCAAAUGGGCUCUUAAUAUUAUUUAUCUGCUAUCUAUUGAGCAACCUUCUAUAAUAGUAAAAGUUUUCGGUGUAAGGUAUUAUAUGCAUUAGAUGAAUUGCGUGCUUAUAAACAUAAAAUUUUCAUCAAAAUGUUCAAUGUCAUUUUAACUACGCCUAAUUUUUUUUGGAAUACUUGCUACUUCAAUCCUCAGUGAUGAUCAUUCUCAUUUUUAGUGAUUAAUAUCUAAAUUGUAAUUAUAGAUACUUCAAUAUUUAUAAAUAUUUGUCAUUUUCUCAUAUUAAAAUGUCUUCUAUCUCAAUCUUGUUCAAAAAUGGUUGUAGUCAUUAAUCAGACUCCUACUAAACUAGCUAUAUCCUCCCGAGCCAAGUGGAGUAUGAUUGAAGUAGUCAGAUCCUUUUUCUAUUCUUUUCCCUCGUGCGGCUGGACCAUCCUGUAUAUUACAGAGAUCAACAAAGGGAACCAGUUUAAUAGUAAGUUCAUUUUUGUUACUUUUCCAUAUCUCCUGAGUAAUCUCUAUGCUACUGAAUUUUUGAAAAUUUCCCUACAGUGUGAACCUUACAAGAUUUAAUUUUAUUUGUACAAGUUCAUUCUUGUUUUUCAUUUCUCCUGAGUAAUCUCUAUGCCGCUGAUUUUUUGAAAAUUUUUGUACAGUGUAAACCUUACUGGAUUUAAGCUUAGUUCAACAAUGAAAUGUUCAAUUUUAUAAGUUUCAUUUGUUUCCAAAAUGUGUAAUGAGAGAUCUUUGUUCUUUGUGGUUUCCAUUUAUUUUGCCUUAGGUUCUCAUGAGUUCUCGCUAUGCCCCUGUUUGGGCUCCAUUAAAAUUAAAUUUUGGGGAAAAUUGUGUUUUGAAAUAGUAUUUUUUGGAGAAUGUGUGGUUUAAUAUUAAGGAAAAGUUUUGGGUUUGCGUAUAAUAUUAGUUUAUUGGAAAAUGUAUGGUCAAAAAUAAGAAAGAAAAAAUGUAUUUUUACAAAAAUGGAGCCUAAAUAUGGCUAUGUUUAGAACAUUUUUACCAUAUUUUAAUUUCCUUCUUUGUUAUGUGUUCUUAUUUUGAAACGUAAGCAGACCUUUCACAGAUUUUCAGUCAACUAUUAUGCUUGUGUUUUUGCAACUCCUCAUUCAUCAUGUGUUUUCUUAUGUUUUCCGCUGAAGCUAUUUUUAUAUUUUAUGGAUAUGUUCUUUCCCUUCUUAUUACAAGUUUCAUAAUCAUUCUAUACUGGUUGGUGGAGUAGCACUAGCAUGUCCUUUGUCGUUCGAAUUUUCCCUUCUCUAUUACCUUUUCUUUUGCUUCUUUCCUCUUUCAUCAUUUUUAUCUUUGGUUCUAUGACAGCAACAUUCUCAGCCAAACAGGUUUCAGCAUGAUCAGAACGUAUAGCAUAUAGCACGCAGGGCAUUAGAUGAGAAGGUUAAAGAGAUGAAAGACCAGGUAGUGAGGGCCAAAGCAUACUUGAAUUUUUUACCACCAAACAGCAGCUUUCAUUUUGUAAAAGGUUUGAAGCUAAGAAUUAAAAGAGGGUGAACGAGCUAUGGAUCAAAUCACCAAAUCUUAUUCUCUGUCUAGGAGGUAGAACCCUAUUUAUUUCUCUGUCUAUUAUCCUUUUUCUUCUGAUAAAUCCUCCUAAUAUUCUUCAUUUUCCUUAUUUUAAUUGAAAGAGAACUUUGAAUAGA
rnacentral:lncRNA from 1 species